AACGAACGCUGGCGGCGUGCCUAACACAUGCAAGUCGUGCGAGAAAGUUCCUUCGGGAGCGAGUAAAGCGGCGCACGGGUGAGUAACACGUAGGUAACCUGCCCCCCAGUCUGGAACAACUAGAGGAAACUCUAGCUAAUGCCGGAUGAGACCACGAUCCCUUCGGGGGUUGCGGCCAAAGAUGGCCUCUACUUGUAAGCUAUCGCUGAGGGAUGGGCCUGCGGGCCAUUAGCUUGUUGGUGAGGUAACGGCUCACCAAGGCUGUGAUGGCUAGCUGGUCUGAGAGGAUGACCAGCCACACUGGGACUGAGACACGGCCCAGACUCCUACGGGAGGCAGCAGUGGGAAUAUUGCGCAAUGGGCGAAAGCCUGACGCAGCGACGCCGCGUGGGUGAUGAAGGCCUU
rnacentral:rRNA from 1 species